UUUGUGCAGCUUUAUGGUCACAGAAAGGCUCCAGGGUUGGACCCAGGGUCCUUCAGGUUCCUGUACUUGUGUGUGAGCCAGACUCCCAGGAUCUGAGGACAGAAACAGGAGGUCAGUUCCCCUCAGAGCAGGAGGUUCACCCGCAGCUCGGAGCAGGAGGUUCGCCUGCAGCUCGGAGCAGGAGGUUCGCCCGCAGCUCGGAGCAGGAGGUUCGCCCGCAGCUCGGAGCAGGAGGUCCGCCCGCAGCUCGGAGCAGGAGGUCCGCCUGCAGCUCGGAGCAGGAGGUUCGCCCGCAGCUCGGAGCAGGAGGUUGGCCCGCAGCUCGGAGCAGGAGGUUGGCCCGCAGCUCGGAGCAGGAGGUUGGCCCGCAGCUCGGAGCAGGAGGUUGGCCUGCAGCUCGGAGCAGGAGGUUGGCCUGCAGCUCGGAGCAGGAGGUUGGCCUGCAGCUCGGAGCAGGAGGUUCGCCCGCAGCUCGGAGCAGGAGGUUCGCCCGCAGCUCGGAGCAGGAGGUUCGCCCGCAGCUCGGAGCAGGAGGUUCGCCCGCAGCUCGGAGCAGGAGGUCCGCCUGCAGCUCGGAGCAGGAGGUUCGCCUGCAGCUCAGGUGCUGCUGAGCCCCUCCACCGUCAUGAAUCACCCACAGACGGACACACACCACACUAGCCUCGCACCAGGAACAAGCUGCACAUAAUAGUUUGAAUGUUGUGGAGCGGAUUUUGGUGAAGCCAUUAUAGUCUUGUUUACAGAGAAAAAACUUAGAGUUAAGCAGCAGGGCUGAUCAGCUCCUCAGAUUAAUUUGGUGCAAGAGGUGGAGAAAAGUGACAGUUUUUUCAGCUGUCCUGGUUUAACAGAGCUGGCUGCUGUAAAACACUAUAGAAUAAUCUGRAAAAUGAUUAUAAAAG